rnacentral:lncRNA from 1 species
AAUACUUGACAUCCCCGAGUGGCGCCGCUUCCCGGCGUCCCCGACCUUGCGGUACAGCUUCUCGGAAUCAACAGGUACUUCACUCUCCUCCCCAUCCUACUCCUCUAGAAAAGGUGCACGAAUUGAGAAUCCCCAACAAGGUCAGAUCGGUAUACUAGCAAGCUAUUGUUCGUGAUAGUAUUGUCCUAUGCAAUUGUAAUAUUCUGUUUUGUAGUUUGUUACUUUGGAUCUAUGUGUGGUGAAGUACCUGCUUAAUUUCCCCUAUUUUCUUAAAUGAUUCUUGUGGUCUGAUAUGGAUGCGUGCGUGAUGUUCCAUGGUACAUUCACUAGGUUAGGUAUGAGCACACAGAGUAGCACAACACAUGUUUUUAGUACAAAAAUGGUUAAACAAACUUUAGAUGGAUUCAUCUUUCUGUGCAUAUUCUUGCAGGGUAUAUUGAUAAUU